UACAGAGGUCUCAAGCGUUGUUCGGAUUCAUUGGGCGUAAAGGGUGUGUAGGUGGCGCCGUAAGUCGGGUGUGAAAUUUCGGAGCUUAACUCCGAAACUGCAUUCGAUACUGCGGUGCUUGAGGACUGGAGAGGAGACUGGAAUUCAUGGUGUAGCAGAGAAAUGCGUAGAGAUCAUGAGGAAGACCAGUGGCGAAGGCGGGUCUCUGGACAGUUCCUGACACUGAGACACGAAGGCCAGGGGAGCAAACGGG
rnacentral:rRNA from 1 species